rnacentral:rRNA from 1 species
CCUACGGGAGGCAGCAGUGGGGAAUAUUGCACAAUGGGCGCAAGCCUGAUGCAGCGACGCCGCGUGAGGGAAGAAGUCUUUCGGUUUGUAAACCUCUAUUAGCAGGGAAGAAACUGACGGCACUAGAUGACGAAUCAGCCGCGACUUACGUCCCGGCAGCCGCGGCAGUACGUAGGUGGCAAGCGUUAUCCGGAGUUAUUGGGGGGUAUGGGGGCGUAGGCGGGGGUGUAGGUCUGGAGUGAAAGGCACGGGCGCAACCACCGGCCUGCUGUGGAAACUGUGGUACUGGAGUGCAGGAGAGGCAGGCGGAAUUCCUGGUGUAGCGGUGAAAUGCGUAGAUAUUAGGAGGAACACCAGUGGCGAAGGCGGCUCACUGGACAGUAACUGACGUUGAGGCACGAAAGCGUGGGGAGCAAACAGGAUUAGAUACCCUGGUAGUC